GACGAACGCUGGCGGCGUGCUUAACACAUGCAAGUCGAACGGAAAGGCCCUGCUUUUGUGGGGUGCUCGAGUGGCGAACGGGUGAGUAACACGUGAGUAACCUGCCCUUGACUUUGGGAUAACUUCAGGAAACUGGGGCUAAUACCGGAUAGGAGCUCCUGCUGCAUGGUGGGGGUUGGAAAGUUUCGGCGGCUGGGGAUGGACUCGCGGCUUAUCAGCUUGUUGGUGGGGUAGUGGCUUACCAAGGCUUUGACGGGUAGCCGGCCUGAGAGGGUGACCGGCCACAUGAGGGCUGAGAUACGGCCCAGAGUCCUACGGGAGGCAGCAGUGGGAAAUAUUGCACAAUGGGCGGAAGCCUGAUGCAGCAACGCCGCGUGCGGGAUGACGGCCUUCGGGUUGUAAACCGCUUUCGCCUGUGACGAAGCGUGAGUGACGGUAAUGGGUAAAGAAGCACCGGCUAACUACGUG
rnacentral:rRNA from 1 species